rnacentral:misc_RNA from 1 species
UAAUUUUUUUAAAUCUAAAUGUGUACAAAAGGUGGUGGACUGAAUCAGGUCAAACCAUUAAAUAUAGAUCUAGUUUGUAUUUCAUUCUCUCCAUCAUUGAGGUAUUAUAAUCUGUGUUUAACCGAGAUCUGCCUAAUCAUGAUAUUUCAGUUUUUCUGAGCUGUAAUGAGCAAGAUGUUAAGUGUUGUAUUUUUCUUUACUGUUCUAAUGUCCUUAAAGUGAUCAUCUUCAAGUCGGCAGUGAAGAUUAUAUGUUUGAGCUUGUACGUAAUCACCAAUGUUGUAGCAUUUUGUUAGGAAAUGAUUAAAAUUCUUUGGAGGUGGUAUACAAUAUUUGUUUAUUGGUGAACAUUCUAUUAUAUGUUGUUGGACUACACCGAAAUAUAAAAAUUGAUUCCCGUGGUCGACUUCUACUGUUGUUUCUUACUGUCUUACUAAUGAACUUUUGGAUCAGAUUUUGUUUGUCGUAACCAUGGGAUCUUACCUGAACUUCAAGAACUUUGCUGACACAUCACAACCAGAGAGCAGUGGGAAUAAUAGUAAUUCUUUUUUGGCCCAACAAUCUUCCAUAUACUCGUUUACCUUUGAUGAGCUGCAAAAUACAUGUGGACUUGGAAAAGAUUUUGGGUCGAUGAAUAUGGAUGACCUCUUGAAGAACAUUGAAGAGUCUCAAGCGUUGUCAUCUUCUGCUGCUUUAGGGGGUAAUUUGCAGAGACAGGGUUCUUUGACACUGCCUAGGACACUUAGUCAGAAAACUGUAGAUGAAGUAUGGAGAGACUUUCAGAAAGAGAGUGUUGUUGCUAAUGAUGCAAGUGGGACUGGAGGAUCAAACUUUGGGCAGCGGGAAUCUACCUUGGGAGAAAUGACAUUAGAAGAGUUUUUGGUUAGAGCAGGGGCCGUGCAAGAAGAUAUGCAACCAGCUGGAUACUCAAAUGAUGUUACAUUUGCUAGUGGUUUCA